UUACGGUCAUAACAUGUGGAAACACCAGAUCUUGUCCGAUCACCGAAGUUAAGCAACAUCGAGCCUGGUCAGUCCCUAGAAGGGUGACCGCCUGGGAAGACCGAGUACUGUAAG